rnacentral:lncRNA from 1 species
UUUUUCCAGAAAUAUAAAAAACUAAAAGAUCAUUAUUUCAAAAUAACCUCUAAAAUAUUAAUCUCUCCAAAACCAAAAUCUUUUUGAAAUUCCCCCCCAAAAUCACGGUUGACCCACUCCCCCCUCUUCCCGUUGUUCACCAAAACUGUUUUGACAUUCCCCCAAUAAUAUCAUCUCCCUCCUCAAAUCCAUUCAUAUUCCCACCCUUUCUCCUAACCUUAAAUCAAUUUCCCUCCCCAAAUCUAAGUAUUAAAUAUUGUUGGGUUCAAUGGAUCGUUAGCAACUAAGCGAACCGGGAGAGACGAGAUGAAGAACGCAAAGCUUCUCAUGUUUGUCACCACUGGUGUUAAUAAGCGACAAAAAACAUUGCAAGAAUGACGCAAUGACGACGAUGGUUGCUCUUGGUGACAUGCAUCAGCUGUGUGUUUGUUCCACCACAACAACUUCAGUGAAGGUUUGAGUAGGUUUAAGGAGGGAGACAGUAGCUGAGUAGCAACACUUUCAUCUUC